AUUACCGAGUGAGGGCCCUCUGGGUCCAACCUCCCACCCGUGUUUAUUUUACCUUGUUGCUUCGGCGGGCCCGCCUUAACUGGCCGCCGGGGGGCUUACGCCCCCGGGCCCGCGCCCGCCGAAGACACCCUCGAACUCUGUCUGAAGAUUGUAGUCUGAGUGAAAAUAUAAAUUAUUUAAAACUUUCAACAACGGAUCUCUUGGUUCCGGCAUCGAUGAAGAACGCAGCGAAAUGCGAUACGUAAUGUGAAUUGCAAAUUCAGUGAAUCAUCGAGUCUUUGAACGCACAUUGCGCCCCCUGGUAUUCCGGGGGGCAUGCCUGUCCGAGCGUCAUUUCUGCCCUCAAGCACGGCUUGUGUGUUGGGCCCCGUCCUCCGAUCCCGGGGGACGGGCCCGAAAGGCAGCGGCGGCACCGCGUCCGGUCCUCGAGCGUAUGGGGCUUUGUCACCCGCUCUGUAGGCCCGGCCGGCGCUUGCCGAUCAACCCAAAUUUUUAUCCAGGUUGACCUCGGAUCAGGUAGGGAUACCCGCUGAACUUAAGCAUAUCAAUA
rnacentral:rRNA from 1 species